rnacentral:rRNA from 1 species
UACGUAGGGGGCGAGCGUUGUCCGGAUUCAUUGGGCGUAAAGCGCGCGUAGGCGGCUUCGCAAGUCGGCCGUGAAAUCUCCGGGCUCAACUCGGAGGGGUCGGGCGAGACUGCGAGGCUCGAGGUGGGCAGAGGGCAGUGGAAUUCCGGGUGUAGUGGUGGAAUGCGUAGAGAUCCGGAGGAACACCAGUGGCGAAGGCGGCUGCCUGGGCCUGGCCUGACGCUGAGGCGCGAAAGCGUGGGGAGCAAACGGG